GAGUUUGAUCUUGGCUCAGAAUCAACGCUGGCGGCGUGCCUAACACAUGCAAGUCGAACGAGAAAGGGAUUUCGGUCCUGAGUAUAGUGGCGCACGGGGUGAGUAACACGUGAAUGAUCUACCUCCGAGUGGGGAAUAACCAAGAGAAAUCUUGGCUAAUACCGCAUAACACUUACGAGUCAAAGCAGCAAUGCGCUUGGAGAGGAGUUCGCGGCAGAUUAGUUAGUUGGCGGGGUAAUGGCCCACCAAGACGAUGAUCUGUAUCCGGCCUGAGAGGGCGCACGGACACACUGGAACUGAAACACGGUCCAGACUCCUACGGGGGGCAGCAGUGGGGAAUUUUGCGCAAUGGGGGAAACCCUGACGCAGCAACGCCGCGUGGAGGAUGAAGUAUCUUGGUACGUAAACUCCUUUCGAUGGGGAAGAUAAUGACGGUACCCAUAGAAGAAGCCCCGGCUAACUUCGUGCCAGCCGCCGCGGUAAC
rnacentral:rRNA from 1 species